GGGGCCGAUUUUGGAUUCGACGCCGGUGAUGAAAACUUUAGGUGCAUGCCGAGUUGGUAACACGAACUCGUAAAUCCACUGUUGCAACUUUCUAUAGUUGCCAAUGACGAAAACUACGGUGCUCAACUAGCUGCGUAAGCAGCCUAGCCGCACUUCUGGUAGCUUCGGCUCCAGCAAUCAUCAGGGGAUGCCUGUAAACCCAAAAU
rnacentral:tmRNA from 1 species